rnacentral:rRNA from 1 species
UACGUAGGGUGCAAGCGUUGUCCGGAAUUAUUGGGCGUAAAGGGCUCGUAGGCGGUCCAUCGCGUCGGGAGUGGAAAGCUGGGGCUUAACCCCAGUCCUGCUUCCGAUACGGGUGGACUAGAGGUAGGUAGGGGAGAACGGAAUUCCUGGUGUAGCGGUGAAAUGCGCAGAUAUCAGGAGGAACACCGGUGGCGAAGGCGGUUCUCUGGGCCUUACCUGACGCUGAGGAGCGAAAGCAUGGGGAGCAAACAGG